rnacentral:rRNA from 1 species
UACGUAGGGUGCAAGCGUUUAAUCGGAAUUACUGGGCGUAAAGCGUGCGCAGGCGGUUGUGUAAGACAGAUGUGAAAUCCCCGGGCUCAACCUGGGACUUGCAGUUGAAACUGGAAAGCUAGAGUAGGGUAGAGGGGUGUGGAAUUCCAGGUGUAGCGGUGAAAUGCGUAGAUAUCUGGAAGAACACCAAUGGCGAAGGCAAUGUUCUGGCUCGUUUCUGACGCUCAGGUGCGAAAGCCAGGGGAGCGAACGGG